rnacentral:rRNA from 1 species
AACGAACGCUGGCGGCAUGCCUAACACAUGCAAGUCGAACGAGACCUUCGGGUCUAGUGGCGCACGGGUGCGUAACGCGUGGGAACCUGCCCUUAGGUUCGGAAUAACUCCCCGAAAGGGGUGCUAAUACCGGAUAAUGUCUUCGGACCAAAGAUUUAUCGCCUUUGGAUGGGCCCGCGUUGGAUUAGCUAGUUGGUAGGGUAAAAGCCUACCAAGGCGACGAUCCAUAGCUGGUCUGAGAGGAUGAUCAGCCACACUGGGACUGAGACACGGCCCAGACUCCUACGGGAGGCAGCAGUGGGGAAUAUUGGACAAUGGGCGAAAGCCUGAUCCAGCAAUGCCGCGUGAGUGAUGAAGGCCUUAGGAUUGUAAAGCUCUUUUACCCGAGAUGAUAAUGACAGUACCGGGAGAAUAAGCUCCGGCUAACUCCGUG